rnacentral:tRNA from 1 species
UCCGCAGUAGCUCAAUGGUAGAGCGGCGCCCUGUUAAGGCGAUGGUUCCAGGUUCGAGUCCUGGCUGCGGAGCCA